UACGGAGGGUGCAAGCGUUAUCCGGAUUUACUGGGUUUAAAGGGUGUGUAGGCGGGCUAUUAAGUCAGCGGUGAAAUCUCCGGGCUCAACCCGGAAACUGCCAUUGAUACUAUUAGUCUUGAAUAUUGUUGAGGUGGGCGGAACGGGUCAUGUAGCGGUGAAAUGCAUAGAUAUGACCCGGAACACCGAUUGCGAAGGCAGCCCACUAAGCAAUGAUUGACGCUGAGGCACGAAAGCGUGGGGAUCAAACAGG
rnacentral:rRNA from 1 species